rnacentral:rRNA from 1 species
CAGGAUGAACGCUAGCGACAGGCCUAACACAUGCAAGUCGAGGGGCAGCAUUUCUAGCUUGCUAGAAGAUGGCGACCGGCGCACGGGUGAGUAACGCGUAUGCAACCUACCUUAUACUGGGGGAUAGCCCAGAGAAAUCUGGAUUAAUACCGCAUAACAAUGUUUUAUCGCAUGAUAAGAUAUUUAAAACUCCGGUGGUAUAAGAUGGGCAUGCGUAGCAUUAGUUAGUUGGUGAGGUAACGGCUCACCAAGACAAUGAUGCUUAGGGGGUCUGAGAGGAUAGUCCCCCACACUGGUACUGAGACACGGACCAGACUCCUACGGGAGGCAGCAGUGAGGAAUAUUGGUCAAUGGACGCAAGUCUGAACCAGCCAUGUCGCGUGCAGGAUGACGGCCCUAUGGGUUGUAAACUGCUUUUUUACAGGAAUAAUUGUCUCUACGUGUAGAGAUUUGAAUGUACUGUAUGAAUAAGGAUCGGCUAACUCCGUGCCAGCAGCCGCGGUAAUACGGAGGAUUCGAGCGUUAUCCGGAUUUAUUGGGUUUAAAGGGUCCGUAGGCGGUCUUUUAAGUCAGUGGUGAAAUCCCAGAGCUCAACUCUGGAACUGCCAUUGAAACUGAAAGACUUGAAUAUGGUUGAGGUAGGCGGAAUACGUUAUGUAGCGGUGAAAUGCAUAGAUAUAACGUAGAACACCAAUUGCGAAGGCAGCUUACUAAACCAUUAUUGACGCUGAUGGACGAAAGCGUGGGGAGCGAACAGGAUUAGAUACCCUGGUAGUCCACGCCGUAAACGAUGAUUACUCGUUGUGCACAAUACACCGUGCGUGACCGAGCGAAAGCAUUAAGUAAUCCACCUGGGGAGUACGUUCGCAAGAAUGAAACUCAAAUGAAUUGACGG